GGAGAACCAAGGAGCCAUCUGGACAGAAGAAGAAAAAAGCCACCCAGCAGAUGUCAACUGAAACAGGUCCUUUUAAGAUGCAUACAAAAUCCAGUGAGAAAAAGCAGUCAGAGCCACACCUAGGUGUUCAAGCAGAGGCAUCAGAAAACAGUCUGUGAGAUGUCUUCCAACGAGAAGUUCGAACUUUGUGCACAUGCACGUUUUAGCUCACCUUUGCUGCGAGGAUCCCAUAGUCUAAUAUGUCUGUCAGUGCUCCCAGAUGCUAAGCGUCGACACAGUGGUGAGUAGGAGACAGAAUUAAACACUUUGUUUCCUGUCUGUCAAAAAAAGAAAGGAAUAAAAAAGGAGCUCCUGUCUUUCA